rnacentral:rRNA from 1 species
CGGACGGGUGAGUAACGCGUGAGAACCUGCCUUCAGGAUGGGGACAACAGCCGGAAACAGCUGCUAACACCCAAUGUGCCGAGAGGUAAAAAAUUUAUUGCCUGAAGAGGGGCUCGCGUCUGAUUAGCUAGUUGGAGAGGUAAAAGCUCACCAAGGCGACGAUCAGUAGCUGGUCUGAGAGGAUGAGCAGCCACACUGGGACUGAGACACGGCCCAGACUCCUACGGGAGGCAGCAGUGGGGAAUUUUCCGCAAUGGGCGCAAGCCUGACGGAGCAAUACCGCGUGAGGGAAGAAGGUCUAAUAGAUUGUCAACCUCUUUUCUCAGGGAAGAAAAAAAUGACGGUACCUGAGGAAUAAGCAUCGGCUAACUCCGUGCCAGCAGCCGCGGUAAUACGGAGGAUGCAAGCGUUAUCCGGAAUUAUUGGGCGUAAAGCGUCCGCAGGUGGUCAAACAAGUCUGCCGUCAAAAACUAGAGCUUAACUCUGGAGAGGCGGUGGAAACUGUAAGACUAGAGACCGGUAGGGGUAGAGGGAAUUCCCAGUGUAGCGGUGAAAUGCGUAGAGAUUGGGAAGAACACCAGUGGCGAAGGCGCUCUACUGGGCCGGAACUGACACUCAGGGACGAAAGCUAGGGGAGCGAAAGGGAUUAGAUACCCCUGUAGUC